rnacentral:rRNA from 1 species
GUGCCAGCAGCCGCGGUAAUACGUAGGGUGCGAGCGUUAAUCGGAAUUACUGGGCGUAAAGCGUGCGCAGGCGGUUGGUUAAGUCUGAUGUGAAAGCCCCGGGCUCAACCUGGGAAUGGCAUUGGAAACUGGUCAGCUGGAGUGUGGCAGAGGGGGGUGGAAUUCCGCGUGUAGCAGUGAAAUGCGUAGAGAUGCGGAGGAACACCGAUGGCGAAGGCAGCCCCCUGGGCCAACACUGACGCUCAGGCACGAAAGCGUGGGGAGCAAACAGGAUUAGAUACCCUGGUAGUCC